GCCUAGGUGGCUCAGUAGUUGAGUGUCUGCCUUUGGCUCAGGAUGUGAUCCUGGAGACCCGGGAUCGAGUCCCGGGUCAGGCU
rnacentral:tRNA from 1 species